GAGGUCGUGGAAGUCGGUGUUCUCGGCGUGCGUCACGCCGCGAGACUACGCGGUCUUGUCGCGUCGUUCGUCGCGACGCGGCUUGC
rnacentral:tRNA from 1 species